GGUCAAGAUAUUAAGGGCGUGCGGGGGAUGACUAGGCACUUGAAAGCGAUGAAGGACGUGGAAACCUGCGAUAAGCCUCGGGGAGGUGGUAACAACCGUUAUUACCCGGGGAUUUCCGAAUGGGGAAACCCGGCCGGUUUGAAUACCGGUCGCCCGCAACUGAAUGCAUAGGUUGCAGGGAGCAAACGCAGAGAACUGAACCAUCUCAGUACCUGCAGGAAAAGAAAUCGAAGAGACUUCCUGAGUAGCGGCGAGCGAAAGGGAAUUAGCCCAAACCGUUUACGUGUAAGCGUGCAGGCGUUGCGUAAGCGGGGUCGCGGGAAACACAUGUCGGGACUGCAAGCCCGGCGCGGAGUUACAAAUCCGGCCUUAACUGAACAGACUGGAAAGUCUGGCCGUAGAAGGUGAAAGCCCUGUAAGUGAAAAGGUAACGGACUCCGGUGUCUCUCCCAAGUACUGUCAGAUAGGAGGAACCUGGCAGGAAUUUAGGGAACCCACUCUCUAAGGCUAAGUAUUCUCAAGUGACCGAUAGUGCACCAGUACCGUAAGGGAAAGUUGGAAAGAUCCCCGGAAGGGGAGGAAUUGAUCCUGAAACCGCAUGCCUACAAGCAGUCGGAGCUCUAUACCCGUAUGGGCAAGAGUGACGGCGUGCCUUUUGCAUAAUGAUCCGGCGAGUUACGUUGCGUUGCAAGGUUAAGUGUCUCGGACACGAAGCCGAAGCGAAAGCGAGUGCGAAACGUGCGUAUAGUAACGUGGCGUAGACCCGAAACCGGAGGAUCUAUCCAUGGCCAGGGUGAAGUGGGCUUAACCGCCCAUGGAGGCCCGAACCGUUUAGAGUUGAAAAUCUAUCGGAUGAGCUGUGGAUAGGAGUGAAAAGCUAACCGACUUCGGAGAUAGCUGGUUCUCCGCGAAAAAACUUUAGGGUUUGCCUCAGGUAAUAGUGCGUGGGGGUAGAGAUACUGAGAGGAUUGGUGGGCGGUUCGCCGUACCCCAUCCUUUCAAACUCCGAAUACCAUGUACCGUAUCCUGGGAGUAAGACCGUAGGGGAUAAGCUCUAUGGUCGAGAGGGAGAUAACCCAGAACAGCAGCUAAGGUCCCCAAGCCUACGCUAAGUGGACAAAGGAAGUGGAAGUGCUAAGACAGCCGGGAUGUUGGCUUAGAAGCAGCCACCAUUUAAAAAGUGCGUAAUAGCUUACCGGUCGAGCACUUUCGCGCCGACAAUGAUCGGGACUAAGCGUAGCACCGAAGCUCUGUCUGCAUGGAUACCUGGCAGGUUCCAUGCGGGGUAGCGGAGCGUUCCAGUCUGCAUUGAAGCCAUACCGUGAGGAGUGGUGGAGUGACUGGAAGUGAUCAUGCCGGAUUGAGUAGCGAUAAAACGGGUUAGAAUCCCGUUCGUCGUAAGCCUAAGGGUUCCGGGGCAAGGUAAUUCCGCCUCGGGUUAGUCGGUCCCUAAGACGAGGCCGAAAGGCGUAGUUGAUGGGAAUGACGUUAAUAUUCGUCAACCACAUGUAAGUGCGAUGGGGAGACCCGGAGCGUAUAGACUAGGGCCUGUUGGAUGGUCCGUUGCCUUGAGGGGUGGCAGGUAGGUAAAUCCGCCUGCGUAAUCUUCGAUUGGUGAGACGGCGCGGCUUCGGCCAAACCGUACUGUCUGGCUGCUUCGGCAAGAAAAUCCUCUAAGCUUCAGCUUAUGUGUGACCGUACCCGAAACCGACACAGGUAGGCGAGGAGAAUAUCCUCAGACGCGCGUGAGAACUCUGUUGAAGGAACUCGGCAAAUUGGCCCCGUACGUUCGCUAGAAGGGGCGCCUACCUCGCAAGAGGAGGCCACAGAAAAGAGGUUCCACCGACUGUUUAUCAAAAACACAGCUCUCUGCUAACUCCGAAGAGGAUGUAUAGGGAGCGACGCUUGCCCAAUGCUGGAAGGUCAAGGGAAUCGGUCAGGCUUCGGCCAAAGCUGUGAACCUAAGCCCCAGUGAAUGGCGGCCCUAACUAUGAGGGUCCUAAGGUAGCGAAAUUCCUUGGCUGGUAAGUUCAGUCCCGCACGAAGAGCGGCACGAGUGGAACACUGUCUCCAACAGGGACACGGCGAAAUAGGAGUCGUUGUGAAGAUACAACGUACCCGCAGCUAGGCGGAAAGACCCUAUGCAGCUUUACUGUAGUCUGACAUUGGGCUUUUGUAUGUAAUGCGCAGGAUAGGUGGGAGGCUUUGAGACCUGGGUUCUGGUCCAGGUGGAGCCAUCGGUGAGAUACCACCCUUUAUGUAUGAGAGUUCUAACCCUGUCCCGUGAAUCCGGGCAGGGGACACUGUUUGACGGUCAGUUUGACUGGGGCGGUUUCCUCCCAAAAAGUAACGGAGGAGUUCAAAGGUACCCUCAGGGCGGUCGGUCAUCGCCCGAAGAGCGCAAAGGUAGAAGGGUGCUUGACUGCGAGACUAAUAGGUCGAGCAGAUGCGAAAGCAGGACUUAGUGAUCCUGUGGAUCCGUGUGGAAGGGACAUAGCUCAUCAGAUAAAAGCUACGCUAGGGAUAACAGGCUGAUCCUACCUAAGAGUCCAUAUCGACGGUAGGGUUUGGCACCUCGAUGUCGGCUCAUCGCAUCCUGGGGCUGAAGGCGGUCCCAAGGGUUUGGCUGUUCGCCAAUUAAAGCGGUACGUGAGCUGGGUUCAGACCGGCGCGAGCCAGGUUGGUCCCUACCUACUGUGGGCGGAGGAGUCUUGAGCGAGUCUAACCUUAGUACGAGAGGAUUGGGUUGGACGGACCUCUGGUGUUCCUGUUGGGCCGCCAGGCCCAGCGCAGGGUAGCUACGUCCGGAAAGGAUAAGCGCUGAAAGCAUAUAAGCGCGAAGCCCUUCGCAAGAUAAGGACUCCCCAUCAGGACCGUGGUAGACUACCACGUCGAUAGGCCGGGUGUGUAACCUCCGAGAGGAGAAAGCUAACCGGUACUAAUCAUCCGAUCGGCUUGACCUC
rnacentral:rRNA from 1 species